CAACAAGGCUGUUUAUUCACUUGGGUGCAAGUGGGCUGAGUCAGAGAAAGGAGUCAGCGAAGGGUGGUGGGAGUGGAACUGGUUCUAUAGGUUUGGGGUAGGUAGUGGAAAGUUACAGUUAGGGGCAGUUUUUUUGGGCAGGGGAAGAAUGUUACAAGGUGCAUAGUCACAAGGUGGGGGAAGUCAUAAGGCACGAUAUCACAAGGUGGAUGGAUUAGUUGGGGAAGGGCAGGAACAUAUCACAAGGUGGAUGGAUUAAUUAGGGUAGGGAAGGAACAUAUCACAAGGUGGAUGGAUUAGUUAGGGUAGGGCAGGAACAUGUCACAGUGGUGGAUGGAUUAGUUGGGGAAGGGCAGGAACAUAUCACAAGGUGGAUGGAUUAGUUAGGGUAGGGAAGGAACAUAUCACAAGGUGGAUGGAUUAGUUAGGGUAGGGCAGGAACAUGUCACAGUGGUGGAUGGAUUAGUUAGGGUAGGGCAGGAACAUGUCACAAGGUGGAUGGAUUAGUUGGGGAAGGGCAGGAACAUAUCACAAGGUGGAUGGAUUAGUUGGGGAAGGGCAGGAACAUGUCACAAUGGUGGAUGGAUUAGUUGGGGAAGGGCAGGAACAUGUCACAAUGGUGGAUGGAUUAGUUGGGGAAGGGCAGGAACAUAUCACAAGGUGGAUGGAUUAGUUAGGGUAGGGCAGGAACAUGUCACAGUGGUGGAUGGAUUAGUUGAGGAAGGGCAGGAACAUGCCACAAGGUGGAUGGAUUAGUUGGGGAAGGGCAGGAACAUAUCACAAGGUGGAUGGAUUAGUUAGGGUAGGGCAGGAACAUGUCACAGUGGUGGAUGGAUUAGUUGAGGAAGGGCAGGAACAUGCCACAAGGUGGAUGGAUUAGUUGGGGAAGGGCAGGAACAUAUCACAAGGUGGAUGGAUUAGUUAGGGUAGGGAAGGAACAUAUCACAAGGUGGAUGGAUUAGUUGGGGAAGGGCAGGAACAUAUCACAGUGGUGGAUGGAUUAGUUGGGGAAGGGCAGGAACAUAUCACAAGGUGGAUGGAUUAGUUGGGGAAGGGCAGGAACAUAUCACAGUGGUGGAUGG
rnacentral:lncRNA from 1 species